AGUACUUCAGCCCCUCCUCCCGGGUCAGAGUGGCCGUCAGGGGUGGGCCUUCCUCCAGACGAUGAAGGUCAACUUUCUAUAGGAGGGAGCACACAAUGAGAUCAAGGCGAAAAGGUCGUAGUGCUGGAUCAGGUGGAGAGGUUGUGUCAGCAUACUGCCCCUGGACUGCCAGCAGCUGCAAAACAGCCCUGCGCAUGGAGGACUGGGGAGAGAAGAGCCAGGCAGAUAAGUCACUGCAGAGUCAACACCCACUGAGAGGUUUGAAAGCAGCAGCAGUUGACUCCUCCAGCUCAAACAUGUAAAGGUAUUUUGGUUGUUCUGAAGGUGUUGAUCCAGUUCAAUACUAAAAAAAGCUUUUCUCAACAAAGUGCAUCAUCUGAGUUUUGUUUCAUCGGGAAUACGAUAGUGUUAUUCCACAUAACUACUGCACCAAUUAAAGCCCUUUAAAAAGAAAUAGGCUAGUUCUACACCACAUUCUCUGCACUAAACUUACAAACCAGACAACUUUCCAUUCACAACAUAAAAUAAACAGUACCUACCAAUCAGACCACAUUUGGCUUAGCCAAAUAGCACAAAGCAUCUGCGCUAGCCUGUUGGCUCUGACACCACUAGCCAAUGUGAAAUAAGUAAGUCUAGCUAGAAGCUAUAUGAGAUAGGUCAGUGUGCAUGUGAGAAUGAAUAGCUCAGAAUUUUCAAAAAUCAACAAGGUGAGGGAUAGGAAUAUAGUAAAGCAUGAUUUCGUAAAGAGAAAAUUAAACAAACUGUUUUUCUAUUGGCGGGUUGGGUAAAUACAAUGUUGAAGGAUGCUGGAAAGGGACAAAAGUAUUCAUUGAGUUUAAGUAUGGCACAUACCAUGUGAAAGGGAAAUAAAUCAUUUGGAUUAAAGCUGGAGUGCAAAACAGGCAGUCAGGCAUCACAGGGAUUGUUACUUGAGUUAAACCACAUCUUACCUCUGACACAACCUGGGCUCCCUAUAAGGCAGCCAUUAGGAGAGAGAACCAAAGGGGAAAAGUGAGAUAACGGAAAGAGAUCAAUUAGAGCAUCACGAGAUUGUCAGACAUGAAGACUACAUUUUCAACAAUUAUGUGCCACAUCAAAUGUUUGACUUGAGUUUAUCCAUGGUGGCCAAGCCAGCCAAUCACACAUUUUUAGUUCCCUGUGAUUACCUUCACAACACUGAUCCUAUCUCAUCAUACGGACACUUCCGUCAGAAGCUUUUUCACAUCAUUAAGACCUUACCAUUGGGAAUCUUGAUUAAUAGCUGACAUUGUGGCACAGAAACAAAAACAACCAAUGAUGUGAUAUGAGGAGACGCUCUCGCAUCUAACGUUAUUAGACUGCCUUUGAUGAAGAUGCUGCUGGAGGGAAGGCUUGUUAAAGGUCAAAUCUUGUGACACGUUAACAGCUAGGUAAACGAUUGGCUAGUUAGCUAACUAUAUAAAGUACCGGUAACGUAGGCCUUUAAUAUGAUUCGCUAGGAUGGAUCUUAGCUAGCAGGUUAAUUUAACUACAGCUAGGCAACAGUCCUGUGUAUCUAAAGCCAGGCAAGCUAACGCUACCCCGGUACGCGUACGAAUUGGGGCCUUGCUGUCUAGCAAGGUCAGGACGGCAGCUGGUCUUGUUUAAGAAAAAGGCAUGGGGCCCUUAGUAUAAGGAUACAAAGGUACUACACAAAAACAAUACUUACAUGUCUGCUUGCACUACCCCUCAGUACGUUGGAGAUUAUUGUCAGCAUCUUUUGCAUACUAUCGUGCUGCCACCGACCUGCGGUCUCAGAACGUUUCUCCCCUCCCUUCUGCUGCCUGUCUCCUUCGAUGAGGUUAAACGGCGAUGGCAUCCAAUAAAUGUUGCAUUACUGCCACCUACUAGACUGGAGUAUAACUCCCUUAUACUUUGCUGGGGAAAAAUCUUCAAACUUUGGUCAUUUGAAUAUGCUGUGUAGUGUUAGGGCGAAACCCAAAACGUGCACCAGUUGGGGUCCCGAGGAAACGCUGGGUUACAUGCUGACCAGACCGGACACGUCGCGUGCGCCGCAAAAUAAAUGUAGAAACCCAUGUUAUUCAAUUAUUGCACCCACACUGCUCGCGCACGCCAACGAGCAUCAGCGACGCCAAGGGAUAAAAUAGAACUCAUUCCUAUUUCUGACGCAGAUCGCGCUGCAAGUCCUGCCUCUCCCAUCUCCUCAUUGGUUUAUAGGAGCAGGUACCAGUGUGCCAUCUCCUCAUUGAUUAUACCCACGUGGGUGAUUUGAAAGACGAGCUGUUUUGCCGGUAGUCGUGGUAAUACAAUGAAAGUUUAGAUGCGAUCACCAUAUAAAUUAAACGAUGAAAAAAAACUGGAAGGAGGAGAGAUGACUAGAAACGAUUCUGUUGGCUGUUGUAUGUGUGGAUUAAUUGUCGGAGUAGAGGUCCUUGUGCAUUUCAGUUUCAAAGCCUGCACCUUACUUUGAGGGAUCAGCUGUCAUCGAUGGUAAGUUUAAGGAGCUCAAACUGUCGGACUACAAAGGGAAAUACCUAGUCUUCUUCUUCUACCCCCUGGACUUCACGUUUGUCUGCCCGACUGAGAUUAUUGCGUUCAGUGAUCGUGUGCACGAGUUCCGUGCCAUCAAUGCUGAGGUUGUUGCCUGCUCUGUCGACUCACAAUUCACACAUCUGGCAUGGAUCAACACACCCAGGAAGCAGGGGGGACUCGGACCAAUGAAAAUCCCUCUGCUGUCUGACCUCACACACCAGAUUUCCAAAGACUAUGGAGUCUUCCUGGAGGACGCAGGACACACACUCAGGGGCCUGUUCAUCAUCGAUGACAAGGGCGUCCUGAGGCAGAUCACCAUGAAUGACCUCCCUGUGGGGCGCUCUGUAGACGAGACCCUGCGGCUUGUCCAAGCCUUCCAGUAUACUGACAAACACGGCGAAGUGUGCCCAGCAGGAUGGAAGCCAGGCAGUGACACAAUAAUCCCAGACCCAGCGGGCAAACUCAAGUACUUUGACAAGCUGAACUGACCCUCCCCUCUAAUAAACACUUUGG